AACGCAUUAAGCAUUCCGCCUGGGGAGUACGACCGCAAGGUUGAAACUCAAAGGAAUUGACGGGGGCCCGCACAAGCGGUGGAGCAUGUGGUUUAAUUCGAAGCAACGCGAAGAACCUUACCAGGUCUUGACAUCUUUUGAUCACCUGAGAGAUCAGGUUUCCCCUUCGGGGGCAAAAUGACAGGUGGUGCAUGGUUGUCGUCAGCUCGUGUCGUGAGAUGUUGGGUUAAGUCCCGCAACGAGCGCAACCCUUAUGACUAGUUGCCAGCAUUUAGUUGGGCACUCUAGUAAGACUGCCGGUGACAAACCGGAGGAAGGUGGGGAUGACGUCAAAUCAUCAUGCCCCUUAUGACCUGGGCUACACACGUGCUACAAUGGAUGGUACAACGAGUUGCGAGACCGCGAGGUCAAGCUAAUCUCUUAAAGCCAUUCUCAGUUCGGACUGUAGGCUGCAACUCGCCUACACGAAGUCGGAAUCGCUAGUAAUCGCGGAUCAGCACGCCGCGGUGAAUACGUUCCCGGGCCUUGUACACACCGCCCGUCACACCAUGAGAGUUUGUAACACCCGAAGCCGGUGGCGUAACCCUUUUAGGGAGCGAGCCGUCUAAGGUGGGACAAAUGAUUAGGGUGAAGUCGUACAAGGGUAACCCAAAAAAAAACCCCGGAUGUAAGCGGGAGUAAGAAGUGGAUG
rnacentral:rRNA from 1 species